UACCAGCACCCCGAGUGGUCGGGACGUUUAUUGGGCCUAAAGCAUCCGUAGCCGGUUCUACAAGUCUUCCGUUAAAUCCACCUGCUUAACAGAUGGGCUGCGGAAGAUACUAUAGAGCUAGGAGGCGGGAGAGGCAAGCGGUACUCGAUGGGUAGGGGUAAAAUCCGUUGAUCCAUUGAAGACCACCAGUGGCGAAGGCGGCUUGCCAGAACGCACUCGACGGUGAGGGAUGAAAGCUGGGGGAGCAAACCGG
rnacentral:rRNA from 1 species